AUAGCCGUUAACGCCGUUAACGAAUUAAUUUGAUGACUUAAAUUUAAAUAACUGACAAACGCGUAGUGUGUGUACUCGUACAGUUGUAUAUUGUUACUGGGAAUUUGUUACUAGAAAAACGUUCAAACCAUCAUUUAAUCGUGAGAAAACCAUUUGGAAAGUUUGAUUUUUGGCAGGAAAUUUUUCCUUAAAAGAAUAUUGAAGGAAUAAUUGAAAUAAAGUUAUAUCUCUGUUAUAUCCAGUUCAAUCAAAUUAGAUUACAUAUUACAAUGAAUACCAAAUAAUCACAACCGCAACAAGAUUAUAUUCCAAUUAUUCGAUUAUAGAAGUAGAUUCAGUUUUAUAUACUUUAUCUUUAAGAUAACCCCAUAAGAAAAAGUCUGGGCAUGUUAAAUCUGGAGACCUUGGAGGCCAGGAAAUUGGACCAACUGUUCCAAUCCAUUUUUUACCAAAUGUGUCAUUUAAGAAUGAUUUUACAAUCUAAGCAUUAUGAGCUGGGCAACCAUCUUGUUGAAAGUACAUAUCGUUCCGUAUGUCAAGAGGCACAUCUUCCAAUAAUAUGGGUAAAAUAUUUUUUAAAAAGUUUAAAUA